GUAUAUUGUGGACCUCUGGAAGUUACGGAUUUGAAAUCUGAAUUGCAGAUCAUCCGGAUCGAACUACGUAGUGACGUGUCUUAUAUAAGUUAUGUAUUCUAUCGGCAGAAUUUCUGAGGUUGGAUUUGAUUGUUGUUCUAGGCGCUAAUCGUCAUGACGCCUUGAUGUACGGUGCUAGGGAGUUGUGGGCGAACUCCAGGUGAGUGGGCAGUUUUGUUUUCGUAUUACCUAUAUACUAUUGUUUUUCCCAGAAAAAAUGCUUUUAUGCGAAAUUAUGUUUUGAAAAUGCCAUGCAUAGAAUUAUUUGGAAAAUGUGAAUUUCAUAUGAGUUAUAUGAUUGAUAUAUGAUGCAUACAUGUUGCAUGGUGCUGUGGAGGCACAGGUAAGUCAGGUGAGUUCGUUUAUUCAUUGAAUUGUUGUUGUUGAGAUGUUUGAGCUCAUAAUCUGCACCCUAGGUGUUAGUGCUUAUAUUAUUCACCACACCGCACGCUCGCCUUGGAUCCAAGUAGGUGGAUGUCGUACAGACCAUGUGAGGGUUCCGACAUGCCAGUCGUACAGACCAUUAGAGGGGUUCCGACUGGUGGGUGACCUUAGAUAUGCGCGCUGAUGAUAUAUGAUGAGAGAAGCACUAGAGCGUAUUUUACACCUUUCAUCGUAUAGACUACCUUACGUAGUUCCGAGUGAUGUGCAGAGUAGGGCCGUAUAGGUCACUGUGGUGACUCCGGCUUAGUGAGAUAUUGAGCUAUUGAAUUAAUCGUAUAGGACCAACUGCAGGGUCUCCGAUUGAUUCCUUAUUUCACCUGAUUUAUAUUUUGAUUUAUGGCAUGGCAUGUUUUUCUCGAAAAAUGUUAAAGAUUUGGGAUUCAAGCUUUGAGAUUUCAUAUGGUUAUAUAUAUAUAUAUAUUUCUGAAAAGUGUUAAAGGUUUGAGAUUUGAGAUUUUUGCUUAUAUAUAUAUGUUUAUAUAUAUGCUAUUUUCUGGGAAAGUAUACAGGUUUUACGGUGAGGGGUUAUAAAUGUUUUAAAUGAAAAGUCUUCGAAAAACUUUGUUUUACUGACCCACUCAAUUUUGUUUUUUUGCGCCCCUCCAGGUUUCAAGUUAGCAGAGCUUUGGUGGCCACGAGGAAUCCAACGGUGUUCUGACAGAAUUCACAAAAGUAGGACUCACCCUCGGGUGUGCUAUCUUAGUAAUUGGAAUUUUUUUUUAAAGCUUCCGAACUGUGUAAAUGGUUACGUCACUCUCACGUGACGGCCAGCACGCCCUCCUUCGGGACGGGGUGUGUCAGUUGGUAUCAGAGCCUAGGUUGCAAUUCUGGACAUCUUGAUAAUUUCCUAGUGUCUUCUGUCAGAACUAUACCGCCUCGUAGCGAGCCACGUAGUUCGGAUGAGCCUAAUUUCCCUGAUAUAGUAGUUUGGGGGGAAACUAUUGCCAUUGUGAUUCAGUCUAUUAUCUAAAGGGACCUUUUGAGACUGGUUAUAAGUUAAAUUUGAAUCCCUUAGGGAUAUGAAGGACCUAAGGGAGCAGAUUGAUGGCUUAAUCAAUUGGGAAAAGGCGUUUCAGAUUAUGCAAGGUUAAGGGAAUUUGCCUCCCGAUAGGUAGGUCGAGAUGAUUACCUAGUUUUUGAGUGAUGAAUCUGCAUUUUGAUGGAGAUAGGAAUGUUAUCCGACAAUAUCGGAAGGACAACUGUUUGGAAGUUGUUUAAAGAAUUGUUUAAGAAAAGUUUAUUCCCCCGGCAUAUUGUGAUGGUAGUAAACAAGAAAUUGCAAAUGUGAGACGAGGNCGGCUUAGUGAGAUAUUGAGCUAUUGAAUUAAUCGUAUAGGACCAACUGCAGGGUCUCCGAUUGAUUCCUUAUUUCACCUUGAUUAUAUUUUGAUUUAUGGCAUGGCAUGUUUUUCUUGAAAAAUGUUAAAGAUUUGGGAUUCAAGCUUGAGAUUUCAUAUGGUUAUAUAUCUAUAUAUAUAAUAUAUAUAUAUUUCUGAAAAGUGUUAAAGGUUUGAGAUUUGAGCUUUUUGCUUAUAUAUAUGUUAUAAUAUGCUAUUUUCUGGGAAAGUAUACAGGUUUUACGGUGAGGGU
rnacentral:lncRNA from 1 species